AGACUCUUUGGCAGUACAAGUACUAAAAUUGUCACGAUGCAGAAAAGAUCAGCCUGGCCCUACACAAGAAUGACCACAUACUUGUGUAGCAUUUCAUAUUCUU
rnacentral:snRNA from 1 species